rnacentral:rRNA from 1 species
CCUACGGGAGGCAGCAGUAAGGAAUAUUGGUCAAUGGAGGCAACUCUGAACCAGUCAUGCCGCGUGCAGGAAGACAGCCCUAUGGGUCGUAAACUGCUUUUAUACGGGAAUAAACUUUGAUUCGUGAAUCAAGCUGAAUGUACCGUAAGAAUAAGGAUCGGCUAACUCCGUGCCAGCAGCCGCGGUAAUACGGAGGAUCCAAGCGUUAUCCGGAUUUAUUGGGUUUAAAGGGAGCGUAGGCGGCCUAUUAAGUCAGGGGUGAAAGACGGUGGCUCAACCAUCGCAGUGCCUUUGAUACUGAUGGGCUUGAAUAUAGUUGAGGUAGGCGGAAUGUGACAAGUAGCGGUGAAAUGCAUAGAUAUGUCACAGAACACCGAUUGCGAAGGCAGCUUACUAAGCUAUGAUUGACGCUGAGGCUCGAAAGCGUGGGGAUCAAACAGGAUUAGAUACCCUGGUAGUCCACGCCCUAAACGAUGAUAACUCGAUGUUGGCGAUAUACAUCGAGCGUCCGACGACGAAGACGUUAAGUUAGUAACCUACCGUCGGGUUAGGUUACGUCCGCCGAGGUAGGAACGUUAACGAAGUAGUUAGGACGNGAGAGAGCGACGACGACGACGACGGAGGAGGAGG